CCGGCCGCGCGCAGCCGAGAGCGGUCCCCGGGAAGGCGCCUUGUCUGCUGCGUCUCAGCGAGUUGACUGCAGUUUCCGAAGUUGGAGGGAGCCGUGCGGAGGGGAGGCCAAGAAGGAAGAGAGAACUCUCACUGCAACAUUUCAGAGGGACAACAUCUGCAGAAUUGUCAGCAGUUAUUUGGACAAAGUUUUCUCCAAGACGCUGAGAUUGGGCUUGCGUCGAGGCAAACACCGGCCUGAGCACUUCGCAAACAGUAGACCGUUCACCCAACCUGACUACCCCGGUACUGCUAGUAGUAGUAGUAUUCCCAUUGUCCUGACGAGGAGACGAGCUCAGAGAGGCGGACGCAGCCCUUGGCCCUGAUGUCACCAGCUCUGAAGGACUGACUGACCACCAGCCGUUGCCACCCCUUUGCUCCCACCAUGGGACCCUCCGGGAGCCUGCUGGGCAGUGGACACAUGCAGAUCGUCCUGUGGGGAAGUCUGGCAGCUGCUGCCACUUUCUUCCUCAUCACCUUCCUCAUCUUUCUGUGCUCCAGCUGUGACAGAGAAAAGAAGCCAAGACAGUGCAGCGGAGACCACGAGAACCUGAUGAACGUGCCUUCGGACAAGGAGAUGUUCAGCCGGUCAGUGACCAGCCUGGCCACGGACGCCCCCGCCAGCAGCGACCAGAACGGUGCGCUCACCAACGGAGACAUUGUCUCAGAAGACAGCGCCACGGCCUGCCUGCAGCACUACGAGGAGGUCCUGACCUCAGCCUCCGACCUGCUGGACUCCCAGGACAGCACGGGGAAGCCAAAGUGUCACCAGAGCCGGGAACUGCCCCGAAUCCCCCCCGACAGCACGGUGGACACGCUGGCCAGUGCCAGAAGCGUGGACGGGGACCAGGGCGUGGGGGCGGAAGGGCCCUAUGAAGUGCUCAAAGACAGCUCGUCCCAGGAGAACAUGGUGGAGGACUGCCUGUACGAGACCGUGAAGGAGCUCAAGGAGGUGGCCACGGCCGCGGCCCCCGGCAAAGGCCCCAGCAGCCGGGCCAAGGCGGCGUCCGCUCUGAAGGAGCUCCCGGCGCCCCAGGCCGAGGGCAAAACCGACUUCGCCGAAUACGCCUCCGUGGACAGGAACAAAAAGUGCCGGCAAAGCGUGAAUGCAGACAGUGUCCUGGGACCUACCCGGGACCCGGAAGAGGAGGCCCCACCGCCCGUGCCCAUUAAGCUUCUGGAUGAGAACGAGAACCUGCAGCAGAAGGAAGACAGGAAGGCAGGAGAGGAAGGCGCCCCGGAGGGGACCAGUGAGACCAACAAGAGAUUUAGUUCCCUGUCGUACAAGUCCCGAGAGGAAGACCCGACUCUCACGGAUGAAGAGAUCUCAGCCAUGUACUCGUCUGUAAAUAAACCUGGUCAGUCCGUGAAUAAAUCAGGACAGUUGCUCAAAGCGCCCGAGUCCAGCGGCACCUCCAGCCCAGGGGCUGCUCGGAGGUCCCCAUCCUCCUGUAAUGACCUCUAUGCAACUGUUAAAGACUUCGAGAAGACUCCCAGCAGCAGCAGCAUGCUCACACCAGCAGGGAGACCCCGGGAGGAGCCCGAACCCGACUACGAGGCCAUCCAGUCUCUGAGCAGAGAGGAUGAAAAGACCACCCUGGGGACCAAUGGCCACCAUGGCCCCUUCCCAAAGGAGAAUGACUAUGAGAGCAUUGGGGACUUGCAACAAUGCAGAGAUGUCACCAGGCUCUAGCAGCCCACAAGACAGAGCCCGACAGCCUAGGACCAGCCACUCGGGGACAAGAAGACAAGGAAUGCUGUCCCCUCCACGCCACAUUCUGCUUCAGUGGCUGGGGGCAGCGAAUACGCCGGGAUGGUUCCUCAGCUCUGGGAACUGAAAGGGGCAAACCUGGCUGAGCCCUGUGUACCCUGCCUGCCAGGCACUACCACACCCAAGCACAUGUCCCCGUGUCCCCGUGUCCUCAGGACGGGUCCCAGCUGUCAGAGGAGGAGCCUCGCCUCCACCUGCCUAAAUACUGCCCUUCGGAAGAGCCACUGUCCCUCCUCCGUUCCCUGUGGCUGGCUGUCUGCUCCUGUCCCUUGACAUCUCCCAUUUCUACUGGUUCCUGCCAAGGAAAUUCGCCCACAGGGCUUGGCCUUUGUCUUCAACAUUGAUGUUUUCAGAUGGCGAGAAACCGCGGUUGCUGAUACUGUUAGAUCGCCCAUCGUCUCCUGGGGGCACCCCCCGAGGGUCUUGGGUCUUUGUGCCUUCUGAUCCGGGCAUGCCACAUCAGCAGCUUCUCCCAAAGGACGUGAAAUCAUUUUUAGAUGCUUUAUUUUAUUUUUCUAGCCAAAACGUUUUUGCCCCCCGUAUUGGAAACUUCAGAACCUUUGCAGUAUUUGCGGUGAACGCUGUGGUUCUUCUAUACUUGUUUGAGCCCAGAGCCCAUUCCCCCAGAACUCGUCUGGGCUGCCCAUACCGGCUGCCACCAAAGGGCUGUGGACCUGAACGUGUGUUUCUGAUGAUCUGUGCGCCGCACCAGCAGUGUGGGCCCCGAAGUCAACUGCUGCCCUAAGACAGGUGUUGGCGAAGAGAUCUGGCCAAGAGCUACCGAGCCGCGUGAGCCGGGACGGGGCCACAGCAAGGUAACCCCACCCGGUAGCAGCCGAGCCGGUUCUCCCGCGGGGCUGUUUGCUGGCACUGUCUUCAGAAACCACAGGAUCUGCAGGCAGUGGUGGGCUCUGGUGUGUGAAGUAACUGCUGUGUGCUGAUGACCGGCUGUAAUCACGGAGCUCAGUGUAAGACUGCGCUGGGACUUGGUAAAUGAGUCAUUGCCAGUUUUUGGUGCUCCUUGUCAUAGCAUGACUCCAUGGGAUCCGGGGGUGCCAGUCCUCUGGAAGUGUUGAUGCUUGGUGCCCGGCCAGCUUCACUCGGGCCGCUGGAAGCCCAGCAGGUACUGAUGGUAAUUUCCUGGAAAUCUUGACAUGCUCGUUGUGCUGUAUAAUUGGGCAAAGUUAAAGUAUAAUGUUUGCUGUUAAUAAGUGACUGAUGUGAAAAUAGGAACGUGUGUCUGUAAUAUCAAAUGCGGCUUUAUUUGCAAUGGAAUCAAAAUUCCUGGUCCUGUGGCAGUAUUUUCUUGCUCUGUAUUGUACCUUUUCUUCGAUACAUUGUUUUUUACUGUGGCGUUAAACAAUUUGUACACACUUUGAAAGUGUUUGAUUUAGAGAUCAGUCCAGAAACCAUGAUAAAUUGGAGUCUUCAUAUGGACUUACCAAAGUAAAUUAAACAAAAUCAUGGUCCAGAAGAGAACAAACAUUCCUAAGUGCUUUUCCCCCUACUGCUCAUUUUAAGUCUGUGUUUACAUCCAGUGUCUAAUAUUUAUGAAGUAUUUCAUUGUUUUUCAAGGUUCUUCUUUUAUUUAACUGAGAAGUGGUAGUUCAGAUUCUUCUUCAUGCCAGAUAAAAUGAGAAAUGUGAUUUUUGUUAAAAAGGCAAUGUUUUUAAAGCAUUCAGUUUGGUACUUAUUUAUCUUAAUGUGGUUAGAUUACAUUUUUUUUCACCACUUAUAUACUCUGGGUAUUUUUUAAAGAAUAUAGGACUCUGAGCGUCUCAGAUCACCUUGUGUAAUGGAUUAUAAAGGCUGGUUUGUUAUUCCUCAGACUUCUAUAUGUUAAAGUGACAACAGUAAAUGUUUUAAUGUUACCUUUUAAAUAAUUGUGUUGUAAUGACAUGCCUCAUAUGUUCAGGGGAAGAUUGAAAUAUAGCUAAACAAAUAGGAAUUUUGCAUUUAUUGUUUAUGCAUUUUUUUCCUCAUAAAAAUAGUUUCCCAAAAAGUGACUUAUUGUCCACUAGGUGGUCCUGAUCUGUUUCAAGGUACUCCUUUUACUCAAAUAAAAUUUGUGACACUGAGUGGCAUUUUGACUCAGUGUUUCAAAAGGUCUCUGUCAUGGUCAAAUUGUCCAAUUCACAAAUGAGUGGGAAAGUUGUUUUCAGUGUUGGGAAUUUUCGAACCUUAGUUUUACUCCAAAAAUGUCUCGUAUUGGCUUCCACAACUUACAGUUUUUCCCUCCCUGACUCUGGUGUAAAGAUUGUGGGCAGGAAGGCACUAUUCCCACCGGCCUCCCCUGGAUUCCUGCAUAGGUGGUCUUCUGUCCCUUUGCACAGCAUGACCCCUGGGCCCCUUCCCCACCCUAGCCCCUCCAAGUCUGCUGUUCCCAGGAUGUCCUAUCUUGUCUGUCUUCUCCAAUACCAAUCACGGCCUCUGCCUCCUGGCAUAGAGCUGUCCCCACUGCCAGGUGAGCAGACAGCUCCGCCCAGCUCAUUUUCCUGCCCUGCAGGCUGCCCAGGUAAAGCCACAGACCUGCCCGGGAACACAGAUGCUGGGUGAUCUUGGUCUUGAGCUUUUCUCAACCAGGUACAUACUUGCCCGCAUUUGUCAUGAGAAUGAUUGGUGCUAAGGGGCCAUAAAAAGAAGUUUUAUGAAGUUCCGUUGUACACUCAUACUCACAAAUGCAGGGACAUGCUCACCACGACCAUGCUUUAACCAGGCGAGCUCCCCAUCCCCCAUGAUGCACCGAGCCAGCCCUGUGGCUCCCAAGGUUCUGGUGACAGCAGACCAAUAAGUUCCCAUUAAGUAGGACACUGGUUAUUUUAAGGGGGAAAAACCCCUUUCUUGUAAAAAGUAAUCUUUUAUAAAACAAAUCGAGUGUACCAUGUUUUAGCCAGAGAGCUAUAGCCCCCUUUCCCCUGGGAAAUUCUUCCUGUGAGUUGUGUUCGUCACACUCAGUUUGAGCUGCUCUCCCGGGCCCCAAGGCGCCGAGAAUGUUCCAGCAUCUGGCUGGAGUUACCUGGCCUUUGCUAGGCAAACUGGUGUUUGGAGUGAGAAACCAGGCCCCCGUUAGGCCUGGCCCAGGUGAGCAGUGGCAGGGCCUGAGGGUCUGGACACCUAAGAUCCACCACCAUUAUUUUUUAUAGUUUUGUCUAGUUUUGAUUUUUUGAAGUUCACUCUAAGUGAACUUAACACCAUAGUUAAUUAUUUCAAUGGGUGUUCUGGAGUAUAAUUUUUUUUUUCUUCCUUGAAUUAACAGAACAGAUAGCUGCUCAUUGUCUUUAUCCAUUUAAUUUUAUCCAAUAUGCCAGAUCAUCACCCUUAAUAGGACAAUUAAGGCAAAAAGAGGGACCAGCCUGGGCCCCUAGGAUCUGCACUCCAAAACUGUCUGGUCAUAAUGUCUGCUUUUGUCUGUUUUGUUUUUAACUCAACAAGUUGGAAACCAUGAGUUUUAAACAAACUCUUUACUUUUUCUUUCUUAAGCGUAAAGAGGAUUUUUUUUUUUUUUUAACUUUAGGUCCCCAUUGAGGUAGGAGAGGUGUCCCUGGUAGACAGCAGUGACCUUCCCGAGCCCAGGAGACUGACACCGAAGGCCUGAGCCUGUCUGUAAGGGACUUUGAACAUUCCUUUGACAAGUCUUUAUGUAUUUUUGUUGUUGUCGUUAAUCCUCCCCCCAGGAUAUCUUUCCAUUGACAUUUUAGAGAGUGGAAAGGAGGGAGGGAGAGAGAG